ACGGAGAUGCAGUAACAAGGAACUUCACAUAUGCGUUUGUUCCGUAAUUAUUACUAUCCGUUCUCUGUUCCCCUACCUACGCAAUUUCGUAUCGUUUCUAUAACGCAUUCUACGAUACGCGAGAAGAAUUACUCGCGCCACACGAAAACUUCAUUCUCAUUGGCCGUUGAAAUCUGGCGCGUGCUUUAUUGACCAAUCCCUCCAAAGUUUAAAUAAUUCAAUCGACGAUGAUUAUUGGCGGAGUUCUUUCGAGUACAUACGAUGCAUUUAUAAAAAGUGCACUCGAACGUUUAUGAAUAAUAACGAAUUAUUUGUCAACGGUUACGUAAAAAUGCGUAAAUUUUAAUAAAAACAAAAUUUCUCAAGGAUAAUGGUUGCAUGUUUGACGAUCAUUUUUGAUCUUAAAUCAACUUCCUUGCACGGAAUACUUAAGACACGCGAUCUUAAGCGUAAGUAUUCGACGAUUAGAACUUAUGAAGACGUUAAUGAGAUCUUUCGUCAAUUGUACUGAUGUCAAGGACAAGCGGCCAUUGAUGGUACAUGGUUCACCUGUAUUCUGCAAUAAUGUUGUAAUUUUAGCAUAAAUAUUUAAAGAUUCAGUUAUAUAAAGAAGGACAAGUGGGUAUUGUUGUUGGACUACCGGCGUUCUGCGUCAAUUCUGUGAUAACUAGAAGAAGGCACGUAACGGUCGAUAACAACGACGCGGUUUAAAACGGGCCGACGUGGCAGCGGCACGUAUUUUCGUCCACGAAAUGCCAAGAAGACGAGUUCGAGAGCCCGUACCGAUCACCGGAUGUUAUCAGCGUACAUAUAUGUACUACUUAUGUAUAUAUGUACACAAUGGUUGAAAGUAACUUGAUCAGUGCAAAUUCCGCGAUUGUUGUUUUACUACCAAUAACAUAGAUAUACACAAAUUAUAUAUUUAUAUGGAUGCAUGUAUUGUAAAUGAAUGAUCCGAUAAAUGUAAACAUAAGAUAUACAUACAUAUUAUCAAGAAACAUGUAACUCUAUUGUUAAUAAAAUACUCUAUAUAGAUAGGAAGAAACGUGCGCACAUGUACAAUGAUUUGGAGUAGGGCAAGUAGU